GCAGUGGCAGGUCCUUGCCCACAGAGGUCAGCCAGCAGUUUCAAGAUCUAUCUUGCAAUAGACAUUGCAGACAAGCAAGGAGCCUGCGGUCCCCUUUGCCUGUGCUGCUACUGCCCUGGUGCUGGCCCAGGACAGCUGGUGGGGAGAGGCAGUGGAAGGACAGACUGCAGACAGUGUGGAUUUGGAGCACCCCACUUUGAAAGCAGCGUGUUCUACAUGGAACAAACCUGAUGUAACAUGAUGCUAAAGGUUGCUCCUAAAGUUUUCCUCUGCCUCUAUUUUCUUCUGCCCCACCAACCAAAUCCCAUACCCCUCAGCUAGCAUUUUUCAUGGCUUAAGAGCAAGCAAGCAGGGCAGGAAUAAGUGUGCAAGGUUGACAACUAGAUCCCAUGGUUUUUCACUGCUCUGAAAGCACAGAGAAAAGGCAUAUCUGUCAGACCCUGGCUGGUGUUUCUUUCCUGGCUCAGUUCUAGAAAGCAGUUCAAACCUUCAUAAACAUGGAUAUUAGCUCAAAGGGCUUGUCUAUAGCUUCUGAAAUCCCUGCAAAUCCCUCUCUUGACCUAAAAGAAUCCAAACGCUCAGGAGCCACAAAACAUUUGCUCCUUCAUCUGCAUUGUGCUAAUUUCUACAUAAAUGGGAAAUUCAGCCUGGGGUGUUUCUGAGGGCUCUAGAUUUAUGGUAGUACCUCUGGUGAUCUAAUUAUCCCUGCAUAUAAAAUUAGGUCUUGGUUAAUGUGACAGCUAAACACAGUCACACACAGUAUUUUGCACAGGACAUGGAGUACCUGAGAUUUUUCAAAAGCAGCUUGUAAAACCAUCAUGUUGCUUUUCUAGGACAAGCCUGUCCUGGAUAAAGCUCAGGCCACGAGCGGCAGACUGCAGUUUUUUCUGGCUCCGAGGGCCCUGUGCGGAAGCGUUAGGCACGUACUUAACAAGAUGCAGCCGAGGGCAGCUGGAUGAGUCCCAUCUGGAGCUCUACAACUCCUUUGAAAAGCGUGUCAAAAGGGGUCUGGCAUGCAAGGGAAAUGAGAACACAUGGCAGAUGACUGCAGUCGAAACCAGCCAUCCCAACAGCAUCCUGGGAUGCAACCCCCAGGGCACAGCAGGGUCCUGCUGAAAGUGUCAUUUCCUACCUUGCAAAGCAAAGCAGGAGCAGACCAGCCUUGUGUAAUUUCCCUCUGCAACAUCCCUGGGUCUCACAGGUCCUGUCCCAUGGGAAGAUCCAUGCUGGGUGCUGGAAGACCACGUGCUCCCUGUGGUGCAGAGGAGAGCUGCAUGCAAACAUGGUGAGAUUGCUCUGAGGCCGUGUGUGCUUCAAGCCUGUGCAGUCUGGCCAAGGGUCUCAGGGUCCCCACAGUUUCCCAUCUCAGCUGAUGUCUCAUUAUCUAGCCCACACUGUCCCCUUUGCUAUGCAAACUGGCUGCCUUGCCUGCUCAUUUGCGAGUGGGUGUGUGCUGGGAAUUCAGUGCUAUCAAACCCUAAUUGAGUGGUCCAACAUUUCAUAGUCUCCAGGGGACCUGGGAUUUCCUGCAAAUUCAGGGUCCCUUAGGUUCAUGUUGUUGUAUCUUUUAUGCAGGGCCUGGGAAGUCCCUCAUGCACGUGGCAAGAUGUGGCCAAGACAUACUCUGUUGGUAGAUGCUGCACGACUGAAUGGUCCCUGAGCUAACCACGGUUUCAGAGGAAAACACUCUGCAGUCCCAAAGCAUUAGCCGAGGCAGAGGAAAAUUAAAGAGGGAUCUUCUCCUGUCUUUACUGCAUCACCUUGGCUCAGAAGAGACACAGAAAGUGUGGGAGGGAAGCUGUCAGAGUCUGGAUGGCUGAGGGACAGAAAGGAAGGCCAAGAAUUGAAUGUAACAGAAGAACUGUAUGUAAAAAACACUGUCUUCUCUUGGGCACCAGUGAGGAUGAGCAAGACCUGUCAGGGAUGCCUCAGAGCCCGCUGAGCCUACAUCCAAUAACCACACAAAGGGUGGUGAGGACCAGAGGCUGGACCAGCACAGGUGAUAUUGUAUUAGAGGUCUGCUGCAGACCCCCUGAGGAAGAAGAGGAGGUAAAUAAAGUUUUCUUCAGACAUUUGGAGGAAUCCUUACAGCCACCGCAAGAGGUUUCUGGAAUGGUUCAAAGGCAAUUUCUUGGUGGAGGUGAUGAAUGAGCUGACUAGGGGAGGUGAUCUUUUGGGACUUGCUACUCAGACAGAGGGAAGAACUGGCCAAAAAUGAGAAGGCUGGAAGCAGCCUUGUCUGCAGGGACUAUGAGACAGUGGCACUUGACGUGCUGAGAGAAGUCAGCAAGGCAAAGAGCAGAAUUACAGCCCUGAACCUCGGAGGAGCAGGGGUUUGCCUGUUUGCAGGGGUGUGGAAUACAAAUGCAUUGUAUGAAUUGAGUUAGGAAGCAGAAUUUUAGAAAAUGACAACUACAAAAGGGUGUAAAUAUCCAACCUUCUGUUUGCUGUCAGUGAAAAUACUGAGAUUAUCAACUGCCUACUUACAAAUAUUUGAAAACUGGUAUUCCUUGUUUUCACUAAGCACUUAAAAAUCUUGACCUCAUUUUUGGUUCUCUUCACAUCUUUAGAAAACAAGACCCUUGGAGGCUACUGUAUAGUCUCAGAAUCACAUGAAAGGUGCAAGCAAUUGCAGACAGACGCAAAGAAACUACAGUAGCUGUUUUCCAGAGAACCACAGCAGUCUCAUAAAGCUAUUUCAGAUGUAUGUAUGUGAUUUAAAAUUCGGAGACUGAAUUUUACUGGGGGCUACAACUAUGAUGUAAAAAAAAAAAAAAAGAGCAGCUGCACAGUUUACAGAGUAACAACUAAAUAUACCAUAAAUCACAUGUGAAUCUACAAGGGGAUGUAAAUGAUGAAAUACUAGCCAUCUAUGCCUGACGCCCUUACUUCAAACUCUAUACAGAGUCAUAGGGGAGAGCAGAAAGUCAAACCGUUUUUUCCUUCUUUCUACACUUCAUUUUCCUCCAUUUUCUCUCUCUCUAUUUUAAAUGUGAUUAAAUGCUAAGUAUCUGUUCAGUACAUAACGUGUUCUGUGAGCAGUAAUACUGGUAUGCAGGUCAGAUACACAUAUACAUAACAAGCACUAUAUCUAAAAGAGGAUCACUGCACGCAGAAAGCAAUGUCUUUGCCAUCUUGAUUCCUCUUACAAAGAAGAAAGAGAUGCUAGAUAAAUUUUUCUUACUGUCUCAAAAAGUUCCUGCCCCAUGUUCAUUUUACUCUAGAGCUUCAUAUGUUUUCAUCCCACUCACAAGAACAAAAACUCAGUAACAAAGAACUAGCUCAGGCCUUUAAUGAUGACAACUAUAAAAGAAGACUGUAAAAAAGCCC